rnacentral:rRNA from 1 species
ACGAACGCUGGCGGCAGGCUUAACACAUGCAAGUCGAGCGUGAAGCUGCCUUCGGGUAGUGGAAAGCGGCGGACGGGUGAGUAACGCGUGGGAACCUACCCUUUGGUUCGGAAUAACUUGGGGAAACUUAAGCUAAUACCGGAUACGCCCCGUAAGGGGGAAAGAUUUAUUGCCGAAGGAUGGGCCCGCGUUGGAUUAGGUAGUUGGUAGGGUAACGGCCUACCAAGCCUACGAUCCAUAGCUGUUCUUAGAGGAAGACCAGCCACACUGGGACUGAGACACGGCCCAGACUCCUACGGGAGGCAGCAGUGGGGAAUCUUGGACAAUGGGGGAAACCCUGAUCCAGCCAUGCCGCGUGAAUGAAGAAGGCCUUAGGGUUGUAAAAUUCUUUUAGCGGGGAAGAUAAUGACGGUACCCGCAGAAAAAGCCCCGGCUAACUCCGU